rnacentral:rRNA from 1 species
UACGUAGGGGGGCAAGCGUUUGUCCGGAAUCAUUGGGCGUAAAGAGCGUGUAGGCGGCCAGAUAAGUCCGCUGUGAAAUCUCGAGGCUCAACUUCGAGCUGUCGGUGGAAACUGUCGGGCUAGAGUCCGGAAGAGGCGAGUGGAAUUCCCGGUGUAGCGGUGAAAUGCGCAGAUAUCGGGAGGAACACCAAUGGCGAAGGCAGCUCGCUGGGACGGUACUGACGCUGAGACGCGAAAGCGUGGGGAGCAAACAGG